AGAGGUAACACCUGUGCCAAUUAGCCCUGACACUGCUCCAACAAACCACUCCCUCCCUUCUCUCCCCUGCAGCUGAGCCUGCACCGUGCCCCACCUCCACCACAGUCAUCAAUAGAUAAGUGCAGUGGCUGGUGGAGGCGUAGUGUGUGGAGGUGUCUGCUCUAAUUACCUGCAGCUGUCGCUCAUCUGUGGUAACCAGUGGCUGCUCUAAAGAUCAAGCUCAUGCUCCAGUAAGCUGCCAGUUCAUGUCAGCUUCUCAGCAGUAUCACAGCUCUCUAGUGCUUGCAAGCUUUCAUGCAAGUGUGUCGUGUUUUUUGCUCAUCCUGCUUUCUAAGCACCUCCACUGCCACCCAGCAACGUCUGGAAGAACUCUGUUCACAAUAUUCCUAUCAGCUUACUUUGAUUUCUGUAAUAAAUCCCCUUUACAACCUUUCAA